rnacentral:rRNA from 1 species
UACGUAGGGUGCAAGCGUUGUCCGGAAUUAUUGGGCGUAAAGAGCUCGUAGGCGGUUUGUCGCGUCUGCUGUGAAAACUCGGGGCUUAACCCCGGGCCUGCAGUGGGUACGGGCAGACUAGAGUGCGGUAGGGGAGACUGGAAUUCCUGGUGUAGCGGUGAAAUGCGCAGAUAUCAGGAGGAACACCGGUGGCGAAGGCGGCUCACUGGCCCGGUACUGACGCUGAGGCACGAAAGCGUGGGGAGCAAACAGG